UAUUGGUCAAUGGGGGAAACCCUGAACCAGCAACGCCGCGUGAGGGAAGACGGUUUUCGGAUUGUAAACCUCUGUCCUCUGUGAAGAUGAUGACGGUAGCAGAGGAGGAAGCUCCGGCUAACUACGUGCCAGCAGCCGCGGUAAUACGUAGGUGGCGAGCGUUAUCCGGAUUUAUUGGGCGUAAAGCGUCCGCAGCCGGUUUAUUAAGUAUAGAAUAAAACUUCGGGGCUCAACCCCGUCUCGUUCUAUAAACUGAUAGACUAGAGUGUGGUAGAGGCAAGUGGAAUUUCUAGUGUAGCGGUAGAAUGCGUAGAUAUUAGAAGGAACACCAGUGGCGAAGGCGACUUGCUGGGCCAUCACUGACGGUCAGGGACGAAAGCGUGGGGAGCGAAUAGG
rnacentral:rRNA from 1 species